UAGCAAUAGCAAAAUUAUACCAAAUUUUUGUUGUGUUACAAAAUCACACUCAACAGGAAUUCUAUAAUACUGCUGGAUUCCCAUGGUGCCCUAAAUGACAUUCAUAUACUAAUACAAUAACCUGGUAGGCUAUUUACCUUCAUUCUUAUUACACACUGAUACCUCUACAUUUUAUAUUUGUGUUACAGAUUCAAAUAUAGGAGAGGAAUUUAGAAAUAGAAAAAGAGUAUUUUGAAUGUGUAAUUUGUGUGCAAUGCAUCAUUGAUGUUUCAAAAUGUUGUUGCUUGAUGGCCUGGGUCUACUCAUGAUACAACUAUAAUUAACCAUUCCGAUUGAAAAGAUGCAUUGGUGUUUGUAAAAGAAGACUCCCUGUAUAUCAUUGAAAAGUAGAUUAAAACUAGAAAAUAUGCAAGCUGUUAUUAUAGCUGCCAUGCUGCAUAAUAUCGUCAGAAGUAUGAAUUUAGAAGAAUUAGAAUCAGAAAUUUCAGUCGCAGAUACAUUACAGGAAAAUAAUAUAAUUGUUCGUAACAAUUUUUCAAAACUUACAUCUGAAAUACAACUAUGUACUUAUAAAUAAUUGCUUCCAAAGAUAAUUUAUAAAAUAAACUCCAAAGAUAAU